GGCUCCAUAGUGUAGUGGUUAGCACGUCUGCUUUACACGCAGAAGGUUCUGGGUUCGUGCCCCAGGUGGAGCCA
rfam:Pteropus alecto contig19889, whole genome shotgun sequence.